AGCAAUGUGGCGCAGCUGGUAGCGCGCAGGGCUCAUAACCCUGAGGUCACUCGAUCGAAACGAGUCGUUGCUA